rnacentral:tRNA from 1 species
CCGCCAUUAGCUCAGCAUGGUUAGAGCGAUGCUUUAUAUACAGGAAGUAGGGUCGGGGUUCGAGCCCUCGAUGGCGGC